UAGGGAAUAUUGCACAAUGGGGGAAACCCUGAUGCAGCGACGCCGCGUGAGGGACGAAGGUCUUCGGAUUGUAAACCUCUUUCAGCAGGGACGAAGCGAAAGUGACUGUACCUGCAGAAGAAGCACCGGCUAACUACGUGCCAGCAGCCGCGGUAAUACGUAGGGUGCAAGCGUUGUCCGGAUUUAUUGGGCGUAAAGAGCUCGUAGGCGGUUUGUCGCGUCGGAUGUGAAAACCCAAUGGCUUAACCUUGGGCCUGCAUUCGAUACGGGCAAACUAGAGUGUGGUAGGGGAGACUGGAACUCCUGGUGUAGCGGUGGAAUGCGCAGAUAUCAGGAAGAACACCGAUGGCGAAGGCAGGUCUCUGGGCCAUAACUGACGCUGAGGAGCGAAAGCGUGGGGAGCGAACA
rnacentral:rRNA from 1 species